UAACGCGUGGGGCAACCUGCCCCAUAGAGGGGGACAACAGCUGGAAACGGCUGCUAAUACCGCAUAACAAGGAGAGAGCGCAUGUUCUUUUCUUCAAAGAUUUAUCGCUAUGGGAUGGACCCGCGUCUGAUUAGCUAGUUGGUGAGGUAACGGCUCACCAAGGCGACGAUCAGUAGCCGGCUUGAGAGAGUGAACGGCCACAUUGGGACUGAGACACGGCCCAGACUCCUACGGAAGGCAGCAG
rnacentral:rRNA from 1 species